CCUACGGGGGGCAGCAGUGAGGAAUAUUGGUCAAUGGGCGGGAGCCUGAACCAGCCAAGUCGCGUGAAGGAAGAAGGUACUUAGUAUUGUAAACUUCUUUUGUCGGGGAACAAAGGCGGAGACGCGUCUCCGGAUGAGUGUACCCGAAGAAAAAGCAUCGGCUAACUCCGUGCCAGCCGCCGCGGUAAUACGGAGGAUGCGAGCGUUAUCCGGAUUUAUUGGGUUUAAAGGGUGCGUAGGCGGAUCGUUAAGUCAGUGGUCAAAUUGAGGGGCUCAACCCCUUCCCGCCAUUGAAACUGGCGUUCUUGAGUGGAAGAGAAGUAUGCGGAAUGCGUGGUGUAGCGGUGAAAUGCAUAGAUAUCACGCAGAACCCCGAUUGCGAAGGCAGCAUGCCGGCUUCCGACUGACGCUGAAGCACGAAAGCGUGGGGAUCGAACAGGAUUAGAUACCCCAGUAGUC
rnacentral:rRNA from 1 species